GAUGAACGCUGGCGGCGUGCCUAAUACAUGCAAGUCGAGCGAAUGGAUUGAGAGCUUGCUCUUAUGAAGUUAGCGGCGGACGGGUGAGUAACACGUGGGUAACCUGCCCAUAAGACUGGGAUAACUCCGGGAAACCGGGGCUAAUACCGGAUAACAUUUUGAACCGCAUGGUUCGAAAUUGAAAGGCGGCUUCGGCUGUCACUUAUGGAUGGACCCGCGUCGCAUUAGCUAGUUGGUGAGGUAACGGCUCACCAAGGCAACGAUGCGUAGCCGACCUGUUAGGGUGGUCGGCCACACUGGGACUGAGACACGGCCCGGACUCCUACGGGAGGCAGCAAUAGGGAAACUUCCGCAAUGGACGAAAGUCUGACGGAGCAACGCCGCGUGAGUGAUGAAGGCUUUCGGGUCGUAAAACUCUGUUGUUAGGGAAGAACAAGUGCUAGUUGAAUAAGCUGGCACCUUGACGGUACCUAACCAGAAAGCCACGGCUAACUACGUGCCAGCCGCCGCGGUAA
rnacentral:rRNA from 1 species